rnacentral:pre_miRNA from 1 species
CAAGUACUCCCUCCGUACGGAAUUACUUGUCAUCAAAAUGGAUGUGUCUAGAACUAAAAUACAUCUAGAUACAUCCAUCUCAAUGACAAGUAUUUUCGGACGAAGGGAGUACAAG